rnacentral:rRNA from 1 species
CCUACGGGAGGCAGCAGUGAGGAAUAUUGGUCAAUGGACGAAAGUCUGAACCAGCCAAGUAGCGUGAAGGAUGACUGCUCUAUGAGUUGUAAACUGCUUUUAUAAGGGAAUAAACCCAGGCACGCGUGCCUUUUUGCAAGUACCUUAUGAAUAAGGAUCGGCUAACUCCGUGCCAGCAGCCGCGGUAAUACGGAGGAUUCAAGCGUUAUCCGGAUUUAUUGGGUUUAAAGGGUGCGUAGAUGGGCUGUUAAGUCAGUGGUGAAAGUGUGAGGCUCAACCGUGAAAUUGCAAUUGAUACUGGCCGGCUUGAGAGCAGUUGCGGUAGGCGGAAUUUGUGGUGUAGCGGUGAAAUGCUUAGAGAUCACGCAGAACCCCGAUUGCGAAGGCAGCUUACUAAGCUAUUACUGACAUUGAUGCACGAAAGUGUGGGGAUCGAACAGGAUUAGAUACCCCAGUAGUC